rnacentral:misc_RNA from 1 species
AGAAGAAGGUUGUUAUACAGGAUACUGGAUCGUAGGAGCCGACAGAAAACCUAGUCGAUCACACACAGCGCGGAGAGAGAAAAGAGAAAGCAAUCAUGGCGGACGAAAGUCUCAAUGAUGUAAAGGACGAGAUGACAGAGUUUGUCCCCUUUGAUAACACAAAAAAGAAGAAAAAGAAGAAGGUUGUUAUACAGGAUACUGGA